rnacentral:lncRNA from 1 species
AGUGGAUCCACCAGAAGGUAUGUAUCUAUUAGAUGCAAAUGGAUCUACAAAAGAAAGAUAGGUUCGGAUAAAUAGGUAGAGACCUAUAAGGUAAGGCUUGUUGCGAAAGAUUAUAGUCAACAUAAAAGGUAUUGACUAUCAAAAAUUUUUUUUCACCUAUGGCUAUGCUAAAAUCUAUCCAGAUAUUGCUUGCUAUUGCAGCAUACCAUGAUUAUG